UUCCUACGGGAGGCAGCAGUAGGGAAUCUUCCGCAAUGGACGAAAGUCUGACGGAGCAACGCCGCGUGAGUGAUGAAGGUUUUCGGAUCGUAAAGCUCUGUUGUUAGGGAAGAACAAGUGCCGUUCAAAUAGGGCGGCACCUUGACGGUACCUAACCAGAAAGCCACGGCUAACUACGUGCCAGCAGCCGCGGUAAUACGUAGGUGGCAAGCGUUGUCCGGAAUUAUUGGGCGUAAAGGGCUCGCAGGCGGUUUCUUAAGUCUGAUGUGAAAGCCCCCGGCUCAACCGGGGAGGGUCAUUGGAAACUGGGGAACUUGAGUGCAGAAGAGGAGAGUGGAAUUCCACGUGUAGCGGUGAAAUGCGUAGAGAUGUGGAGGAACACCAGUGGCGAAGGCGACUCUCUGGUCUGUAACUGACGCUGAGGAGCGAAAGCGUGGGGAGCGAACAGGAUUAGAUAC
rnacentral:rRNA from 1 species